GACGAACGCUGGCGGCGUGCUUAACACAUGCAAGUCGAACGGUGAAGCUCCAGCUUGCUGGGGUGGAGCAGUUGCGAACGGGUGAGUAACACGUGAGCAACCUGCCCCUGACUCUGGAAUAAGCGCUGGAAACGGCAUCUAAUACUGGAUACGAGAAGGGUCCGCAUGGUCACUUUCUGGAAAGUUAUUCGGUUGGGGAUGGGCUCGCGGCCUAUCAGCUUGUUGGUGAGGUAAUGGAUCACCAAGGCGACGACGCGUAGCCGGCCUGAGAGGGCGACCGGCCAAGCUGGGAUGGAACUAAGGCCCAGACCCCUCCGGGAGGCAACAGAGGAGAAGAGUGCACUAUGGGCGAAAGGCUGAUGUAGUGAAGCAGCGUGGGGUAAGAGGGGAUGGGGGUUGUAAAGCACUUCCCGCAGGGAAGAAGUGAAAGUGACGGUACCUGCAGAAGAAGCACCGGCUAACUACGUG
rnacentral:rRNA from 1 species